GACGAACGCUGGCGGCGUGCUUAACACAUGCAAGUCGAACGGUGAAGCGCCUUCCUUUUUGGUGGGUGUGGAUGAGUGGCGAACGGGUGAGUAACACGUGAGUAACCUGCCCCCUUCUUCUGGAUAACCGCAUGAAAGUGUGGCUAAUACGGGAUAUUCUGGGUCUGUCGCAUGAUGGGUCUGGGAAAGAUAUUGUUUCGGUGGGGGAUGGGCUCGCGGCCUAUCAGCUUGUUGGUGGGGUGGUGGCCUACCAAGGCGGUGACGGGUAGCCGGCCUGAGAGGGUGGACGGUCACACUGGGACUGAGACACGGCCCAGACUCCUACGGGAGGCAGCAGUGGGGAAUAGUGCACAAUGGGCGCAAGCCUGAUGCAGCGACGCCGCGUGAGGGAUGGAGGCCUUCGGGUUGUGAACCUCUUUCGCCAGUGAAGCAGGCCUGCCUCGUUUGUGGGUGGGUUGACGGUAGCUGGAUAAGAAGCGCCGGCUAACUACGUG
rnacentral:rRNA from 1 species